UGGGGAAUAUUGCACAAUGGAGGGAACUCUGAUGCAGCGACGCCGCGUGAGUGAUGAAGGAAUUCGUUUCGUAAAACUCUGUUCUAUGGGAAGAAAAGGACUGUACCAUAGGAGAAAGCUCCGGCUAAAUACGUGCCAGCAGCCGCGGUAAUACGUGUGGAGCGAGCGUUGUCCGGAAUUAUUGGGCGUAAAGGGUGCGCAGGCGGCUUUACAAGUUGGAUGUGAAAUAUUGUGGCUCAACCACAAACGUGCAUCCAAAACUGCAAAGCUUGAGUUAAGGAGAGGUAAGUGGAAUUCCUGGUGUAGCGGUGGAAUGCGUAGAUAUCAGGAGGAAUACCGGUGGCGAAGGCGACUUACUGGACUUAAACUGACGCUCAGGCACGAAAGCGUGGGGAGCAAACAGG
rnacentral:rRNA from 1 species